CCGGUCAGCUGCUAUGGGGGCAGAGUCACAGCACACGGCCGCCAUGGCGGCCGCGGGAAUUCGAUUUUAGCUGGUCUGAGAGGAUGAUCAGCCACACUGGGACUGAGACACUGCCCAGACUCCUACGGGAGGCUGCAGUCGAGGAUCAUUCGCAAUGCGCGAAAGCGUGACGAUGCGACGCUGCGUGGAGGAUGACGGCCCUAGGGUUGUAAACUCCUGUCAUUCGGGAAAAAUGGUUCCGGGGUUAAUACCCUCGGAAAUUGAUGGUACCGGAAGAGGAAGCCACGGCUAACUCUGUGCCAGCAGCCGCGGUAAUACAGAGGUGGCAAGCGUUGUUCGGAUUUACUGGGCGUAAAGGGUGCGUAGGUGGCAUCGUAUGUCGGGUGUGAAAUCCCACGGCUCAACCGUGGAACUGCAUUCGAAACUGCGGAGCUAGAGUACAGGAGGGGAGAGCGGAAUUCUUGGUGUAGCGGUGAAAUGCGUUGAUAUCAAGAAGAACACCGGUGGCGAAGGCGGCUCUCUGGAAUGUUACUGACACUGAUGCACGAAAGCUGGGGGAGCAAACAGGAUUAGAUACCCUGGUAGUCCCAGCCGUAAACGGUGUGAACUUGGUGUGGGGAGAAUUGACCCUCCCCGUGUCGGAGCUAACGCGUUAAGUUCACCGCCUGGGGAGUACGGCCGCAAGGCUAAAACUCGGAGGUGGCAACGAAAGUUACCCUUGCCAUCACCGGUGCUGCAUGG
rnacentral:rRNA from 1 species